CCUUGGUCAGGUUGAAGUGCAGGUAACACUGAAUGGAGGACCGAACCGACUUACGUGGAAAAGUGAGCGGAUGAACUGGGGGUAGCGGAGAAAUGCCAAUCGAACUUGGAGAUAGCUGGUUCGCUCCGAAAUAGCUUUAGGGCUAGCCUCAAGUGAUGAUUAUUGGGGGUAGAGCACUGUUUGGACGAGGGGCCCCUCUCGGGUUACCGAAUUCAGACAAACUCCGAAUGCCAAUUAAUUUAACUUGGGAGUCAGAACAUGGGUGAUAAGGUCCGUGUUCGAAAGGGAAACAGCCCAGACCACCAGCUAAGGUCCCAAAAUAUAUGUUAAGUGGAAAAGGAUGUGGCGUUGCCCAGACAACUAGGAUGUUGGCUUAGAAGCAGCCAUCAUUUAAAGAGUGCGUAAUAGCUCACUAGUCGAGUGACACUGCGCCGAAAAUGUAACGGGGCUAAACAUAUUACCGAAGCUGUGGAUUGUCCUUUGGACAAUGGUAGGAGAGCGUUCUAAGGGCGUCGAAGCAUGAUCGCAAGGACAUGUGGAGCACUUAGAAGUGAGAAUGCCGGUGUGAGUAGCGAAAGACGGGUGAGAAUCACAGUCCACCGAUUGACUAAGGUUUCCAGAGGAAGGCUCGUCCGCUCUGGGUUAGUCGGGUCCUAAGCUGAGGCCGACAGGCGUCGGCGAUGGAUAACAGCUUGAUA
rnacentral:rRNA from 1 species